rnacentral:rRNA from 1 species
CGGAAUUUUGAAACUUCGGUCGAUUAAUCUAGUGGCGGACGGGUGAGUAACGCGUGGGUACCUGCCUUGUACAGGGGGAUAACAGUCAGAAAUGACUGCUAAUACCGCAUAAGACCGCAUGGUAAAAACUCCGGUGGUAUAAGAUGGACCCGCGUUGGAUUAGCUAGUUGGUGGGUAACGGCCUACCAAGGCGACGAUCCAUAGCCGGCCUGAGAGGGUGAACGGCCACAUUGGGACUGAGACACGGCCCAGACUCCUACGGGAGGCAGCAGUGGGGAAUAUUGCACAAUGGGGGAAACCCUGAUGCAGCGACGCCGCGUGAAGGAAGAAGUAUCUCGGUAUGUAAACUUCUAUCAGCAGGGAAGAAAAUGACGGUACCUGACUAAGAAGCCCCGGCUAACUACGUGCCAGCAGCCGCGGUAAUACGUAGGGGGCAAGCGUUAUCCGGAUUUACUGGGUGUAAAGGGAGCGUAGACGGAGGAAAGUCUGAUGUGAAAGGCUGGGGCUCAACCCCGGGACUGCAUUGGAAACUGCCCGUCUUGAGUGCCGGAGAGGUAAGCGGAAUUCCUAGUGUAGCGGUGAAAUGCGUAGAUAUUAGGAGGAACA